rnacentral:rRNA from 1 species
CGUUUAGGGGUAAACCUGAGAAACCCGAAAGGUCGAAGGAUGAAAUUCAUUCGCGUUUCGCGUCGUCGAAGGCGAGCGGUCGCGCGACGGAAGACGUUCGCGUCGACCGCGCCCUCGGCUCGUCGAAUCGGCCGCGAACGCGUGCACUUUUCAUCUGGUAGGACGCCGCGAUUCGUCGGGUGUCGGUCUACGGUUAGCGGAGGAGCCCGUUCGUAUCGAUUUUUCGGAAUUUGUGCUUACGGACCCGCGAUACCCGGCCGGCUCGCUCGACGGUAUACGAACGGUUAGUGGCCGCUACUCGUUAGCGUUCGACUCGAGGCAAGCACGUUAGAAACGUCGGCAACCGGACCUAGCGCCGAUUCCGACUUCUGGCGACUGUUGGCCGCGACGUUUUCGAACAGACCACUCGAAACCGAUCAGCGACGCUAUAGAUUUGGGUACUUUCAGGACCCGUCUUGAAACACGGACCAAGGAGUCUAGCAUGUGCGCGAGUCAUUGGGACUUACUAAACCUAAAGGCGCAAUGAAAGUGAAGGUUUUCCUAGCGAAGACCGAGGGAAGACGGGCGGUUCGCCCUUAAAAGCGACCGCCUCGCAUUCCCGGGGCGUCUCGUUCUCAUCGCGAGAAGAGGCGCACCAAGAGCGUACACGCUGGGACCCGAAAGAUGGUGAACUAUGCCUGGU